rnacentral:rRNA from 1 species
GCCAACUCUAGCCCUAGUCCCAUACAAUUAUAAUAACUAAACAUAAUAACCAAAUCAUUUACCCACUAUAAAAGUAUAGGAGAUAGAAAUUAUACCCUAGGCGCAAUAGAUAUAGUACCGUAAGGGAAAGAAAAAAAUCAACAAAGCACAAUAAAGCAAAGACAAACUCUUGUACCUUCUGCAUAAUGAAUUAACUAGAAAUAACUUUAUAUAGAGAACUUCAAUAAUGCUCCCCGAAACCAGGCGAGCUACCCAAGGACAGCUAAAAGAGCACACCCAUCUAUGUGGCAAAAUAGUGGGAAAAUCUAUGGGUAGUGGCGACAAACCUACCGAGCCUGGUGAUAGCUGGUUGUCCAAGACAGAAUCUUAGUUCAACCUUAAAUUUACUUACAGAACUAUUUAAUCCUCCCGUAAAUUUAAUUGUUAGUCUAAAGAGGGACAGCUCCUUAGACCCUAGGAAACAACCUUUACAUAGAGAGUAAAACACCCCACCACCAUAGUUGGCCUAAAAGCAGCCAUCAAUUAAGAAAGCGUUUAAGCUCAACACUCACCUUUCCUUAAUCUCACCCAAUAUACUGAACUCCUAAAGCACAUUGGACUGAUCUAUUAUUUAAUAGAAGCAAUAAUGUUAAUAUAAGUAACAUGAAACUAUUCUCCCCGCAUAAGCUUAUCUCAGACCGAAACAACUACUGUUAGUUAACAGCCCAAUCAUCAUAUACCACAACCCAACCAACCUAUUAAACAAACUGUUAACCCAACACAGGCAUGCACCCAGGAAAGAUUAAAAAAAGUAAAAGGAACUCGGCAAACUCUAACCCCGCCUGUUUACCAAAAACAUCACCUCUAGCAUUACUAGUAUUAGAGGCACUGCCUGCCCAGUGACACAUGUUUAACGGCCGCGGUACCCUGACCGUGCAAAGGUAGCAUAAUCACUUGUUCCCUAAAUAGGGACUUGCAUGAAUGGCCACACGAGGGUUUAACUGUCUCUUACUUUUAAUCAGUGAAAUUGACCUAUCCGUGAAGAGGCGGAUAUAACCAAAUAAGACGAGAAGACCCUAUGGAGCUUCAAUUUAAUAAUACAAACAAAUGCUCUAAACACCCACAGGCACUAACCCACUGUCAAUGUAUUAUAAAUUUUGGUUGGGGUGACCUCGGAGCAUAACACAACCUCCGAAAAGCAUAUACCAAGACCUCACUAGUCUAAGUAAUUUACACUCAUUGACCCAAUAACUUGAUCAACGGACCAAGUUACCCUAGGGAUAACAGCGCAAUCCUAUUCUAGAGUUCAUAUCGACAAUAGGGUUUACGACCUCGAUGUUGGAUCAAGACAUCCUAAUGGUGCAGCCGCUAUUAAAGGUUCGUUUGUUCAACGAUUAAAGUCUUACGUGAUCUGAGUUCAGACCGGAGAAAUCCAGGUCGGUUUCUAUCUAUUAAAUAUUUCUCCCAGUACGAAAGGACAAGAGAAAUGGAGCCUACUUCAUAAAGCGCCCCCACAAAUAAAAUGAUUAUAAUCUUAAUUUCACAAAUUAUUAACCCUGCCCAAGAACAGGGCUU